GUGGGGAAUCUUCCGCAAUGGACGAAAGUCUGACGGAGCAACGCCGCGUGAGUGAAGAAGGUUUUCGGAUCGUAAAGCUCUUUCGUUAGGGACGAACGUGCUCUUUGUGAAUAAUGAGGAGUAAUGACGGUACCUAAAUAAGAAGCCACGGCUAACUACGUGCCAGCAGCCGCGGUAAUACGUAGGUGGCAAGCGUUGUCCGGAAUUAUUGGGCGUAAAGCGCGCGCAGGCGGGAUAUCAAGUCUGUCUUAAAAGUGCGAGGCUCAACCUCGUGAGGGGACAGAAACUGGUAUUCUUGAGUGUCGGAGAGGAAAGUGGAAUUCCAAGUGUAGCGGUGAAAUGCGUAGAGAUUUGGAAGAACACCAGUGGCGAAGGCGACUCUCUGGACGAUGUCUGACGCUGAGGCGCGAAAGCUAGGGGAGCGAACGGGAUUAGAAACCCGAGUAGUCC
rnacentral:rRNA from 1 species